rnacentral:rRNA from 1 species
UCUUUAAAUGGGGACUCGUAUCAACGGCAUCACGAGGGUUGCACUGUCUCCCUUCUCCAAUCAGUGAAACUGAUCUCCCCGUGAAGAAGCGGGGAUUUAAUUAUAAGACGAGAAGACCCCAUGGAGCUUAAAAUCUUACAGCAACUCUGUCAUAUAAUCCCUCAUAAUUAACAGAAUAUGCACCCCGAUUUUAGGUUGGGGCGACCGCGGAGCAAAAAUUACCCUCCACGACGAAAAGAGCUAAAUCUUUAUCCAAGAGCCACCUCUCUAAGAAUUAGUAUACUAACGGACAAUGACCCGAUUAUCGAUCAACGAACCAAGUUACCCUGGGGAUAACAGCGCAAUCUACUUCAAGAGCUCAUAUCGACAAGUAGGCUUACGACCUCGAUGUUGGAUCAGGAUAUCCCAGUGGUGCAGCCGCUACUAAUGGUUC